UACGGGGGGGGCAAGCGUUGUUCGGAAUUACUGGGCGUAAAGGGCGUGUAGGCGGCCAACUAAGUCCGACGUGAAAUCCCCAGGCUUAACCUGGGAACUGCGUCGGAUACUGGAUGGCUUGAAUCCGGGAGAGGGAUGCGGAAUUCCUGGUGUAGCGGUGAAAUGCGCAGAUAUCAGGAGGAACACCGGUGGCGAAGGCGGUUCUCUGGGCCUUACCUGACGCUGAGGAGCGAAAGCGUGGGGAGCAAACAGG
rnacentral:rRNA from 1 species